GAUGAACGCUGGCGGCGUGCCUAAUACAUGCAAGUCGAGCGAACAGACGAGGAGCUUGCUCCUCUGACGUUAGCGGCGGACGGGUGAGUAACACGUGGAUAACCUACCUAUAAGACUGGGAUAACUUCGGGAAACCGGAGCUAAUACCGGAUAAUAUAUUGAACCGCAUGGUUCAAUAGUGAAAGACGGUUUUGCUGUCACUUAUAGAUGGAUCCGCGCCGCAUUAGCUAGUUGGUAAGGUAACGGCUUACCAAGGCAACGAUGCGUAGCCGACCUGAGAGGGUGAUCGGCCACACUGGAACUGAGACACGGUCCAGACUCCUACGGGAGGCAGCAGUAGGGAAUCUUCCACAAUGGGCGAAAGCCUGACGGAGCAACGCCGCGUGAGUGAUGAAGGCCUUCGGAUCGUAAAACUCUGUUAUUAGGGAAGAACAAAUGUGUAAGUAACUAUGCACGUCUUGACGGUACCUAAUCAGAAAGCCACGGCUAACUACGUG
rnacentral:rRNA from 1 species